UACGUAGGCAGCGAGCGUUGUUCGGAAUUACUGGGCGUAAAGCGUGCGUAGACGGUUAUGUAAGUCAGAUGUGAAAGCCCAGGGCUCAACCUUGGAAUUGCAUUUGAGACUGCAUAGCUAGGGUGCGGAAGAGGGAAGCGGAAUUUCCGGUGUAGCGGUGAAAUGCGUAGAUAUCGGAAGGAACACCAGUGGCGAAAGCGGCUUCCUGGUCCAGCACCGACGUUCAGGCACGAAAGCGUGGGGAGCAAACAGG
rnacentral:rRNA from 1 species